GAAAUGCGAUACGUAGUGUGAAUUGCAGAAUUCAGUGAAUCAUCGAAUCUUUGAACGCACAUUGCGCCCUUUGGUAUUCCAAAGGGCAUGCCUGUUCGAGCGUCAUUUGUACCCUCAAGCUUUGCUUGGUGUUGGGCGUUUUUGUCUUUGGCCCGCCAAAGACUCGCCUUAAAAUGAUUGGCAGCCGGCCUACUGGUUUCGCAGCGCAACACAUUUUUGCGCUUGCAAUCAGCAAAAGAGGACGGCAAUCCAUCAAGACUCCUUCUCACGUUUGACCUCGGAUCAGGUAGGGAUACCCGCUGAACUUAAGC
rnacentral:misc_RNA from 1 species